rnacentral:tRNA from 4 species
GGAGAGAUGUCCGAGCGGUUGAAGGAGCACGCCUGGAAAGCGUGUGUACGGGCAACUGUACCGAGGGUUCGAAUCCCUCUCUCUCCGCCA